rnacentral:rRNA from 1 species
UACGGAGGAUGCAAGCGUUAUCCGGAUUCAUUGGGUUUAAAGGGUGCGUAGGCGGAAGAGUAAGUCAGUGGUGAAAUCCCCUCGCUUAACGAGGGAACUGCCAUUGAUACUGCUUUUCUUGAGUACAGUUGACGUGGGCGGAAUGUGCUAUGUAGCGGUGAAAUGCUUAGAUAUGGCACAGAACACCUAUUGCGAAGGCAGCUCACGAAACUGAAACUGACGCUGAGGCACGAAAGCGUGGGGAUCAAACAGG